CGUCUAAUUUCAAAUUUCUGAAGCGCUCCGGCCGAAUUGAGCUUCCUGCCUGGACCGACAUUGUGAAGACGGCCACAUUCAAGGAGCUUGCAGCAUAUGAGCCUGAUUGGUACUACAUUAGAUCUGCAUCCAUGGCAAGGAAAAUCUACUUGAGGGGUGGUCUUGGUGUUGGUGCCUUCCGCAGGAUCUAUGGAGGGAGCAAGAGGAACUGAAGGGAAACAGAGAAUUACAACAGAGGUGCUGCGGUUGGAGAGAAACCAAUAAACUUUGGUAGAUUCCACAACAUCAGAGAUGGUAAUUUUCAAAACUAACAAGGUUAUAAAGAGAUAGUGACUCCAAAUUUGGAAAGAUAUAGCCAACAGUCACCAACAUGGAUGGUGUAGCUUUUCAACUUAUCCGACAACAAGUUGUUCGGAAGAAGCUUGUCUGAAAACCUGUUUGGCAUCAAAUUAAAGGACAAAUGGAGCAUGAGUUCAAGUGACUCCUUAGGUUUGAAGGUUGCUUUUGUAGUGAAUCAGGUAUCCCACUUGACGUCCAACUGGAACAACUGUGUACUCAAUUAUUUUUCCAACGACCUUGGGAAUAAAUGAAGGUAAGACAAAACAACAUGCCACUUUCAGUUUAGUAAUAUAUCUGUUGAACAUAAACGAAGCCAAAAACAUGGAAAAAGAUCUAGAAAUUUAUGCAACAAAAUAAAAUGAAAAAUGGAAAGACAAGAAUAAAAUGUGAUUGACAUUGAAUAAUGAAACAAAAGACAUACCUUAGCUCGUGAGAGGGAGACGAACGGCAAAGAAGAAGAGACUAUGUAACUUGUGAGAGUGAGAGUAACGGCAAAGUAAAAGCAAAGUGAAGGUGAACGACAACAGAAAUUGCAAAGUUGUGUUGUGAAAUGAAAUUAGAGGACAAAUGAAGAUAAGUGAAAUAAGUGUGGUUUACCGUAUUAAAACGAAGUCGGAUGAGUUGCUAUUCAAUAAUACGGUCUAGUUGUAUUUUUCUUCAUUUGUAAGCAAGGAGUCUUAGAUUCUAACUUCGUGAAUGAUGAUUGAUAAGUUUGAUACCAAUUUAUUCUUACCACCUUUAGUUAAUCUCUUUAUGGCCCGAUAUUAUUUUUAGUGAUGCUCAAUAUCCAUCUCAUUCUGCACCCCAAGUCCACUGUGAGAUAACUUGCAUAAGAAUCUUUUUUCUUCAAGCUCUCAAAAUUACUCCUUCCCUCCAUUGUAGAAAGAUGGCAAUGGUCGAGAUUUAACAAAGAGAGGUUUACGAUUCUCCAAUGAUGUUUUUUUAUAGGUUUGAUCAUGUAUAUGAGCAUUUGAUAGUGAAUACAUGUAUAGUGCUUCACAAUUGAAAAGAAGUGGAAUCUUAGUUUCAGGUAAUUACCGAGAUUUUUGUUGAUCCCCUUUUGUUGUGCUGCCAAUUUUGAGUUCCUAUCAUGUAAAUUGGUUGACUAAAAUGUUAGUGUAUGCAAAAAGGUUGUUGAUGCUGAUGGUUUUUUUCUGUAACUGAUUUAAGAGUUGCUAUUGUAUUCUUAGCAUAAACGUCAGACUGCCAAUGACAUCCUUUUGUUUUCUAUAGCUGCCAGUGUCUAAACCUCCAACAAAAUGGGAAACUUUUGCCAAAACAAAAGGGAUUUCCCUUGAGAGAUGGUUGUGUGAGACACUGAGAACCUAUAAAUUUGUGAGAUGUUCCAAGUCUGAAGGUAUCACUCUGGAGAGAGAAUUGCUGGGUCCAAGUUGUAACUCUGGAGUAAUUUACCAAUCUGUGCCGGUAUGUCACCAGUCAAGUGGAUCUGGCUCAAGUUUAGAAGCUGCUGUUUUGUCAUUUGUCCGAGCUCAGGUGGGAUUGGACCUGU